CAAGUACUCCCUCCGUCCGGAAUUACUUGUCAUCAAAAUGGAUGUGUCUAGAACUAAAAUACAUCUAGAUACAUCCAUUUCAAUGACAAGUAUUUUCGGACGGAGGGANGCUUUA
rnacentral:pre_miRNA from 1 species